AAUGAACGCUGGCGGCAUGCCUAACACAUGCAAGUCGAACGAGACCUUCGGGUCUAGUGGCGCACGGGUGCGUAACGCGUGGGAAUCUGCCCUUGGGUUCGGACUAACUCGCCGAAAGGCGUGCUAAUACCGGAUGAUGACGUAAGUCCAAAGAUUUAUCGCCCAAGGAUGAGCCCGCGUAGGAUUAGCUAGUUGGUGGGGUAAAGGCCCACCAAGGCGACGAUCCUUAGCUGGUCUGAGAGGAUGAUCAGCCACACUGGGACUGAGACACGGCCCAGACUCCUACGGGAGGCAGCAGUGGGGAAUAUUGGACAAUGGGCGAAAGCCUGAUCCGGCAAUGCCGCGUGAGUGAUGAAGGCCUUAGGGUUGUAAAGCUCCUUUACCCGGGAUGAUAAUGACAGUACCGGGAGAAUAAGCCCCGGCUAACUCCGUGCCAGCCGCCGCGGUAA
rnacentral:rRNA from 1 species